CAGCCGCCGCGGGAAUACAGAGGGUGCGAGCGUUAAUCGGAUUUACUGGGCGUAAAGCGUGCGUAGGCGGCUUUUUAAGUCGGAUGUGAAAUCCCCGAGCUUAACUUGGGAAUUGCAUUCGAUACUGGGAAGCUAGAGUAUGGGAGAGGAUGGUAGAAUUCCAGGUGUAGCGGUGAAAUGCGUAGAGAUCUGGAGGAAUACCGAUGGCGAAGGCAGCCAUCUGGCCUAAUACUGACGCUGAGGUACGAAAGCAUGGGGAGCAAACAGGAUUAGAUACCCGCGUAGUCCCUGUCUCUUAUAC
rnacentral:rRNA from 1 species